UACGUAGGCAGCAAGCGUUGUUCGGAGUUACUGGGCGUAAAGGGUGCGUAGGUGGCUCUAUAAGUAUGGUGUGAAAUCUCCCGGCUUAACUGGGAGGGUGCGCCGUAGACUGUGCGGCUAGAGUGCGGAAAGGGGCAACUGGAAUUCUCGGUGUAGCGGUGAAAUGCGUAGAUAUCGAGAGGAACACCUGCGGCGAAGGCGGGUUGCUGGGCCGACACUGACGCUGAUGCGCGAAAGCCAGGGGAGCGAACGGG
rnacentral:rRNA from 1 species